UCCGCCCCUCGCUCGCAUUGCAGGCAUCCUGAGUCUCGGCCCUUUUCGCCAAAUCGCUGCUCUGCCGCGCGCCUACGCAAGGAAAGAUUCAAGGGUCCCUCCACUUCAGGGAGUGGAGCCCGCGCCUCGGCACGGAUCAGCUGUGCGUCUCCUUUGGCCUACUGGCUCCUCUGCUUGUGUCUAUAGCUAGCUGGACGCAUCGUGACUUUAUCUUCUCAUCUUUCCUGGCGCCCCCAGACGCAUUUCCUGGUCCCUCGAGGCAGCGGCGUCUGGGGAGUGCACUUUGCACAGACAGGGAAACCGAGGCACUCAGCGGUCUCCAAUGGAGACGCUGUAAUCGCAUUCCACGACCAGCUAGCGCUAUAAGCGCUGCCUCUAAAGCGGAAGGCCUCCCAGUCCUUCUCGACAGGAAGCAAUAUUUGCAUAUCUAAGGAGAACAAGAUUCGGCAAUGUGCUCCGGGAGCAAGUGCAGGCAUGGAACGGUAUGGGCUGGAGGGGGACAGACCUUCAGAGGCGGCUGCCCGUUCCCUGUAGUGUCACAUCACAAGUCCAACUUGGCAUGGCUGCUGCAUACUUUGCUCAGGAUGUCCGAGGCAAAAGGCAAG
rnacentral:lncRNA from 10 species